AUGUUUUUACUUGGAAUGUCAGAUUCCAUCCGUUGAAUAAUAUGAGAAACAACAUACUUUGGUCUAUUGUGCAGGAACUUUGGGAUUUGUUUGCUGUAGGACUUGUAUGAAUCGGAUGAUUUGAUAUUCUGUUCCUUAUAUCUAUAAAGAGAAAAUUGUUUCCACAGUGGAUUCUCUUGACUGAUGAUGUUCAGGACUUCUGAUAUGGAAUCCAUGUCCUCAUUUUGGGAUAUGAAGACAGCAACAACGAUGUAACAAACAUUUGAUCGGACACAUAAGAAAAACAACGGUAGUGCAUACCUCAAAAGAUGCAAAUUGGAAAACUUUAUAACAUUAACUUUCCAAGUGACAAGAAAAUAAGGUAUUUUGUAUUACCUACAUGUGCGAUAAGUGGCAUCCAUUAAACACAUUUCGUUCCCAUAACGCAAUAAUAA